GCACUGCUGAGCAGUCUCACAAUAAGACGAAACGGCCGUCCAGUUC
rfam:Schistosoma mansoni strain Puerto Rico chromosome 6, complete genome